ensembl:lncRNA
UACUUUUAAGCAGUAUUUCUGUGUAUUUGUUCGAAUGUGACACAGCUAAGCUUUAAUUCCUGUUGAAAUUCUAAAUAUAUAAUAAUUUUUUUUUAACUAUAGCUAACCACUAAUUUCAUGUCCUAGAAUAAUCAACCAUACAAGCACCUGCGCAAGUCGUUACUAUAGAAACGAUAACGUAUUAGAACGUAUUAGAGUAUGUUUGUAUAAACCUGUGGUUUGAGUUGUAACCAGAACGACUACCACCACCUUCUGACUAAUCAGAAUGGAGAAUGCAACAGCGCUGUGGUAUAAAUAACGAUAAAAAAUAAUGUCAGCAAUAAACCAACCUUUAUAUAACAUACAGUAUCAUCAGCAGGAUACUGAAUUAAAGUAAGGCUACAAAACUCAAACUGUUAAACUUUAUUAAAACGUUUUUGUUGUCGUUGUUUAUUGUUGCUCUUUUAUAUCUAGCUGCUAUUAUUUACUUUGUAUUAAUUAUUUGUUUAACAUUGUUUUUGUUCUCGCUAAUAAGGUAAAUGCAUUCUUUACGUGUAAACACUUUAUUUGUCAUUAAUUGGCAGCAUUAAUUAGUACUAGGGAAAAAAACCCUCUUAAUUCUGCUACGUGUUUUAUAAUCAGUUAACUCAAGCUACUUUUGAGGAACAGGUUGACAAGCUCACGCUAACGAUGUCACCAGAAACAGCAAGGUAAUUACUAUGGAAGUAUAAUAGUGCCAAAUGUCCUCAAGGCAAAAUGGCAUGUUGAAUUACAUAAAUUGAAUAAAAACAUAUCGCAAAUUGGAAAAAAAAACCAAAAAAAAAAACCACAGCAAUAACAAUGCUUGAAUUAGUUUCCUCUGAAGUUCAUUGGGUUUGUAUAUUUUGAUUCAAAACAAAAUUCCAGCAUACAAAAUUCAAUACACACAUAUUCACUUUCCUAAAAUAUGGUUCCAAAAUAUUGAGCUGUUAAAAUACCAUCUUCAUUGUUUGUCAGGUAAUAUUUCAACACAUUAUUUUUCACAAAUUCAGGCUGCAAAAAUUCAGGUCUUAAAAUUCAAGUCUUCACAUCCGGGUCUCACAGGAAGAGCGAUGGAUUGCCGAUACUAUUGUAACAUGUUACUCUGGGCUGGCCCCCUAGUGGUGGGAUUGUGCAGACAAGCCACAAGAGAAGAUGAACCUAGCGGACUGGCAUAAAGUUGGCUUGACGUUUGACGUUCGGUAUUCUCAGAUGUGGGCAAAUUAAGGGACUGUCUCUAAAGUUACAUAUUGCUAUACAUGUUUCUAACUUCAGUAGCAUUUGAAGAGAAUGACUUGGUCAUAAAAUCAACUGUAAAGUGUUCAUCUAGGUGUCAGCUAUAACGCACUCCUUUUUAUCAAAAAUCUAAAAGGUGUAGUUGGUUUUGUGACUGUAAGUAAUUCCCUUCGAAUUUAUGUAAUUCAACAUGCCAUUUUGCCUUGAGGACAUUUGGCACUAUUAUACUUCCAUAAAUUACUGUUAAUAAGCAUUAAUUAGCCGUGUUAAUUAACCAUUUUUUAAAUAUAAAACAUCUUUUACCAGUACAGAGGACAUUUUAUGUCCAAGAAGGUUUGGGAAAGAGGGUGGGCAUAUGCUAAUUAGGUGAUAGGUAUGCUAAUGAGCUAAGGGAAAUGGUCAUGAGUGUCACGAUUCAAAAUACAGACGGAAGAAAGUGCAGAUUCUUAAACAUUUAAUAACAAACAUAUGAAACACUCUACAACAAUGAAACAAAACACUGUGGCAAUGACAAAAUACGGCAGCAAAGACAAAGGUAUAGUGAGACGAUAACAUGAGACAAAGAGUGCACUGCAAACUGUGACUACAUACAAGAGUGCUAAUUACCCGGAAUGUUAAUCAGGUGCAGGUGGUCAUGUGACAAUGAAGCAGUGGCUGUUGGGAACUGUAGUUCAGUUCCCUUACUGAUUUCAUGACAAUGAGGAAAUGUUAUAUCAAUAACGAAUGAAUAACUGAUAACGAGCAAAACUAAACGUUUAUUUGCCACAACGACGUCUUAUAUUGGAACUUCACGCACGUGUGAGCAAAUAUGUUUGUGCUAAUAAAGACAGAUUUAUGCUAAUG